rnacentral:rRNA from 1 species
GGAAGUAAAAGUCGUAACAAGGUUUCCGUAGGUGAACCUGCGGAAGGAUCAUUACUGAUUUAGCGAACCGAGCGUUAGCGAGGUUUUGCGAUCACUUAUAUUUAAAACCCCACUCUUUAAUGUAUAAAAUUUGUAUUAAUGAUAAAUUAAAAGAUCACUUUCAACAACGGAUCUCUUGGCUCUCGCAUCGAUGAAGAACGUAGCGAAGUGCGAUAAGUAAUGUGAAUUGCAGUAUUCCGUGAAUCAUCGAAUCUUUGAACGCAUAUUGCACUUUCUGGUAUUCCGGAAGGUAUGCCUGUUUGAGGGUCAGUUAAAUAAAAAUCGGUGUUGUUGCUGCCUUUCGUGGUGACGCGUCGGAAUUGAGUUGUCUUACCUUCGGUUAAGUGACUUAAAAUUUUGUAUGAUUUUUGAACGUAUUUAAAUUUAUUUGUACGUUUGAGAUAUCGAAUAUUUAUUAGGUUCGGUCAUUCUAACGACUCGCGCCUAUAAUUUUCCAUUAAAUGACCUCAAAUCAGGUAAGAAUACCCGCCGAACUUAAGCAUAUCAAUAAGCGGAGGA